UACGGAGGGAGCUAGCGUUGUUCGGAAUUACUGGGCGUAAAGCGCGCGUAGGCGGCUUUGUAAGUAGAGGGUGAAAUCCCGGGGCUUAACCUCGGAACUGCCCCCUAAACUGCAGAGCUAGAAUCCUGGAGAGGUGAGUGGAAUUCCUAGUGUAGAGGUGAAAUUCGUAGAUAUUAGGAAGAACACCAGUGGCGAAGGCGACUCACUGGACAGGUAUUGACGCUGAGGUGCGAAAGCGUGGGGAGCGAACAGGAUUAGAUACCCGCGUAGUCC
rnacentral:rRNA from 1 species